CCCACAAAAUGGGGCUUAUUUUUAAAAACUGCAGGUUUUUUUGGGGGANCCGUGUCUUUUUUUUUUUUCCCCCCUUCCUGGGAAAAACGCCUGGCAAAGAGUUGCAGCACAACAAGAGGGUGCUGGGUUUGCCUCCUACGUGGUCGUUUGGGGCCAAGCUCACGGGGUCCCGCACGUUCCCGGGGAGCUUGAACCACCGGGCUCCAGCCACACGUUGUCUUUUCCCCCCCAAAACGUGCGUUUUUUGACUUCACGUGCCAGAGAGAUGCCCCCAAAAAAGAGGAUGACACCGGUUUUCCCUCCUCCAUCCCAGGUCACGGUCAAGCUCACAGGGUCCCACACACUCCAGGUGAUCUUGAGCCGGGCAGACCCCAGCCCUGGGGUUUUUUUUCCUCCAACGUGUGUUUUUUUUUCCCCUUCACAUGGCAGAGAAGACUCCCAAAAGAAGAGGAUGAUGCUGGUUCUUCCUCCUCCAUCCCAGGUCACGGCCAAGUUCACCGGGUCCCGCACGCUCCCGGUCAGCUUGAACCAUCUGGCUCCAGCUGCAUGUUUUCUUUUCCCCCCAAAAUGUGCAUUUUUCCCUUCACGUGCCAGAGAGAUGCCCCCAAAAAAGAGGAUGACACCAGUUUUCCCUCCUCCAUCCCAGGUCACGGCCAAGUUCACCGGGUCCCGCACGCUCCCGGUCAGCUUGAACCACCCAGUUCCAGCCGCGUGUUUUCUUUUCCCUCCUACACGUGUGUUUUCCCCUCAUAUUCCAGAGAAAUGCCCCAACAAAAGAGGAUGACGCUGGUUUCUCCUCCUCCAUCCCAGGUCAUGGCCAAGCUCGCCAGGUCCCGCACCCUCCCAGCGCGCUUGAGCCGGGCAGACUCCAGCUGUGAGCUUUUCCUCCCACGUUUUGGGUUUUUUUUUUGUGGUUUUUUCCCUCCCUCACAUGCCAGAGAGGAGCCCAAACGCAGGAGGACGGCGCUGGUUCUUCCUCCUCCGUCCCAGGUCACGGCCAAGCUCACAGGGUCCCACACACUCCAGGUGAUCUUGAGCCGGGCAGACCCCAGCCCUGGGGGUUUUUUUCCUCCAACGUGUGUUUUUUUUUCCCCUUCACAUGGCAGAGAGGACUCCCAAAAGAAGAGGAUGAUGCUGGUUCUUCCUCCUCCAUCCCAGGUCACGGCCAAGUUCACCAGGUCCCGCACACUCCCGGUCAGCUUGAACCAUCUGGCUCCAGCCGCGUGUUUUCUUUUCCCCCCAAAAUGUGCAUUUUUCCCUUCACAUGCCAGAGAGAUGCCCCCAAAAAAGAGGAUGACACCGGUUUUCCCUCCUCCGUCCCAGGUCACGGCCAAGCUCACAGGGUCCCACACACUCCAGGUGAUCUUGAGCCGGGCAGACUCCAGCCCUGGGGUUUUUUUUCCUCCAACGUGUGUUUUUUUUCCCCUUCACAUGGCAGAGAGGACUCCCAAAAGAAGAGGAUGAUGCUGGUUCUUCCUCCUCCAUUCCAGGUCACGGCCAAGUUCACCAGGUCCCACACACUCCCAGCGCGCUUGAGCUGGGCAGACUCCAGCUGUGAGCUUUUCCUCCCACAUGUUUUGGGGUUUUUUUGUGGUUUUUUCCCUCCCUCACAUGCCAGAGAGGAGCCCAAACGCAGGAGGACGGCGCUGGUUCUUCCUCCUCCGUCCCAGGUCACGGCCAAGCUCACAGGGUCCCACACACUCCAGGUGAUCUUGAGCCGGGCAGACCCCAGCCCUGGGGGUUUUUUUUCCUCCAACGUGGGUUUUUUUUUCCCCUUCACAUGGCAGAGAGGACUCUCAAAAGAAGAGGAUGAUGCUGGUUCUUCCUCCUCCAUCCCAGGUCACGGCCAAGUUCACCGGGUCGCGCACACUCCCGGUCAGCUUGAACCAUCUGGCUCCAGCUGCAUGUUUUCUUUUCCCCCCAAAAUGUGCAUUUUUCCCUUCACGUGCCAAAGAGAUGCCCCCAAAAAAGAGGAUGACACCAGUUUUCCCUCCUCCAUCCCAGGUCAUGGCCAAGCUCGCCAGGUCCCGCACCCUCCCAGCGCGCUUGAGCCGAGCAGACUCCAGCUGUGAGCUUUUCCUCCCACAUGUUUUGGGGUUUUUUUGUGGUUUUUUCCCUCCCUCACAUGCCAGAGAGGAGCCCAAACGCAGGAGGACGGCGCUGGUUCUUCCUCCUCCGUCCCAGGUCACGGCCAAGCUCACAGGGUCCCACACACUCCCAGAAUGAUUGAGCCGGGCAGACCCCAGCCCUGGGGGUUUUUUUCCUCCAACGUGUGUUUUUUUUUCCCCUUCACAUGGCAGAGAGGACUCNUGUUUUCUUUUCCCCCCAAAAUGUGCAUUUUUCCCUUCACGUGCCAGAGAGAUGCCCCCAAAAAAGAGGAUGACACCGGUUUUCCCUCCUCCAUCCCAGGUCACGGCCAAGCUCACAGGGUCCCACACACUCCAGGUGAUCUUGAGCCGGGCAG
rnacentral:lncRNA from 1 species